UAGGGAAUCUUCCACAAUGGACGCAAGUCUGAUGGAGCAAUGCCGCGUGAGUGAAGAAGGUUUUCGGAUCGUAAAGCUCUGUUGUAAGUCAAGAACGGGUGUGAGAGUGGAAAGUUCACACUGUGACGGUAGCUUACCAGAAAGGGACGGCUAACUACGUGCCAGCAGCCGCGGUAAUACGUAGGUCCCGAGCGUUGUCCGGAUUUAUUGGGCGUAAAGCGAGCGCAGGCGGUUUGAUAAGUCUGAAGUUAAAGGCUGUGGCUCAACCAUAGUUCGCUUUGGAAACUGUCAAACUUGAGUGCAGAAGGGGAGAGUGGAAUUCCAUGUGUAGCGGUGAAAUGCGUAGAUAUAUGGAGGAACACCGGUGGCGAAAGCGGCUCUCUGGUCUGUAACUGACGCUGAGGCUCGAAAGCGUGGGGAGCGAACAGGAUUAGAUACCCUGGUAGUCCACGCCGUAAACGAUGAGUGCUAGGUGUUGGAUCCUUUCCGGGAUUCAGUGCCGCAGCUAACGCAUUAAGCACUCCGCCUGGGGAGUACGACCGCAAGGUUGAAACUCUAAAGUGAA
rnacentral:rRNA from 1 species